GGUUGCCAUCUCUGAUACUGGGAUGUCUAAGGAUCCUAUGACUCUGCAAGGAAGCAGAAUUGCCAUUUCUAUUGGAGGCUGAGGCAGGAAGGUGGAUUCAUGCUGCUGGCCAGUGACCAGGUACCUCAGAGGUGACAGAGGAGAACUCAGCCCAAUAGAGGGCUGGCUCCAUGCUGAGUGGCAGCCAGCCAACCAGUGAGAGUGGCACAAAGAGAAAGAAGGUGGAUCCUGAGCACUGCUGGGGAAACUUUCCUGGUAACUUGCAAAACCUGCCUCACAGUCUGGAAUUGAAAGCCUGGCAACCAAGUGCUUCUUCCCAGCUGCUACUUUUGUACCUUGUCCCUGGGUGUUCUUGAAAAUACAUUUUGAUUCCCACAGU